GAUAGCUCAGUUGGUUAGAGUGUGGUGCUGAUGAUGCCACAGUCGCAGUUUUGAUCCCCGUAACA